GGUCCCAUCGUCUAGCGGUUAGGACAUCGCCCUUUCACGGCGGUAGCCCGGGUUCGAUUCCCGGUGGGAUCACCA
rnacentral:tRNA from 3 species